ACGAAGGUGGCAAGCGUUGUUCGGAUUUACUGGGCGUACAGGGAGCGUAGGCGGUUGGAUAAGCCCUCCGUGAAAUCUCCAGGCUUAACCUGGAAAGUGCAGAGGGGACUGUUCAGCUAGGGGAUGGGAGAGGAGCGCGGAAUUCCCGGUGUAGCGGUGAAAUGCGUAGAGAUCGGGAGGAAGGCCGGUGGCGAAGGCGGCUACCUGGACAAUUGCUGACGCUCAGGCACGAAAGCGGGGGGAGCAAAAGGGA
rnacentral:rRNA from 1 species